CAAAGCUGCCUUUCAUGUUUCCUAAAGUAAGAGAUGUGGAAACUUUUGUAUAUGACUAUAUGAGUUUAGGAUUGAGAAUCUAAAUCCACAGUGAAGAUGGAAGAGGAGAGAAUGAAGUCCUUGACUGUCUCACUAGUGGUCCUGUGGCUCCAGCUAAACUGGGUGAGGAGCCAGCAGAAGGUGCAGCAGAGCCCAGAAUCCCUCAGUGUCCCAGAGGGAGCUACAGCCUCUCUCAACUGCACUUCCAGUGAUCGUAAUUUUCAGUACUUCUGGUGGUACAGACAGCAUUCUGGGGAAGGCCCCAAGGCACUGAUGUCCAUCUUCUCUGACGGUGAAAAGAAAGAAGGCAGAUUCACAGCUCACUUCAAUAAAGUCAGCCUGCAUGUUUCCCUGCACAUCAGAGACUCCCAACCCAGUGACUCUGCUCUCUACUUCUGUGCAGCUAGUGAGCACACAGUGCUCUCCAGGCACCUGCAGCCUGCACCCAAACCUACUGUGCCCCAUUAA